rnacentral:miRNA from 1 species
CGGCGCGCGCGGUCGCUCACC